rnacentral:tmRNA from 1 species
GGGGGCGAAAUGGUUUCGACUUUGUGGAGUGGGCGUGGGCGGCAUGCCGAGGUGGUUCGGAGGCCUCGUUAAACACCGGACAAAAACAUAACAGCGAACGAAGAGCUCGCUCUCGCGGCUUAAUUGACCGCGACGUCCGCCCGGUGACACCGCUAACCGGAACGGACGACACCAGCGGUUAGCCUGUCGGUUGAGUUUGCGGGCCGGCGGGCGAAGCAUCACAUGCAAGCUGGCGCGGCGGAUGGCCCGUUCAUCGGCAGUCCGCCGGGCGAGACCCAAAGGUGAAACACGCAUGUAGGCGCACACGCUGACCCUGCAAAGGACGUGGGUUCAACUCCCACCGCCUCCACCA